rnacentral:rRNA from 1 species
CUCUCCAACGACCGUACCGCAAACCGACACUGGUGCGCGAGAUGAGUAUUCUAAGGCGCUUGAGAGAACUCAGGAGAAGGAACUCGGCAAAUUGACACCGUAACUUCGGAAGAAGGUGUGCCCUAUUAGUGUGAAGUGAACAACGGAGCAUGAAUGGGUUGCAAAAAAUCGGUGGCUGCGACUGUUUAUUAAAAACACAGCACUCUGCAAACACGAAAGUGGACGUAUAGGGUGUGACGCCUGCCCGGUGCUGGAAGAUUAAAUGAUGGGGUGCAAGCUCUUGAUUGAAGUCCCAGUAAACGGCGGCCGUAACAAUAACGGUCCUAAGGUAGCGAAAUUCCUUGUCGGGUAAGUUCCGACCUGCACAAAUGGCGUAACGAUGGCCACACUGUCUCCUCCUGAGACUCAGCGAAGUUGAAAUGUUUGUGAUGAUGCAAUCUCCCCGCGGAAAGACGGAAAGGCCCCAUGAACCUUUACUGUAGCUUUGUAUUGGACUUUGAACAGAUCUGUGUAGGAUAGGUGGGAGGCUUUGAAGCAGGGUCGCUAGAUCUUGUGGAGCCAACGUUGAAAUACCACCCUGGUGUGUUUGAGGUUCUAACCUAGGUCCAUUAUCUGGAUCGGGGACAGUGCAUGGUAGGCAGUUUGACUGGGGCGGUCUCCUCCCAAAGCGUAACGGAGGAGUUCGAAGGUACGCUAGUUACGGUCGGACAUCGUGACGAUAGUGCAAUGGCAUAAGCGUGCUUAACUGCGAGACUGACAAGUCGAGCAGAUGCGAAAGCAGGACAUAGUGAUCCGGUGGUUCUGUAUGGAAGGGCCAUCGCUCAACGGAUAAAAGGUACUCUGAGGAUAACAGGCUGAUACCGCCCAAGAGUUCAUAUCGACGGCGGUGUUUGGCACCUCGAUGUCGGCUCAUCUCAUCCUGGGGCUGUAGCCGGUCCCAAGGGUAUGGCUGUUCGCCAUUUAAAGAGGUACGUGAGCUGGGUUUAAAACGUCGUGAGACAGUUUGGUCCCUAUCUUCCGUGGGCGCUGCAGAUUUGAGGAAGCCUGCUCCUAGUACGAGAGGACCGGAGUGGACACACCUCUGGUGUAUCGGUUGUCACGCCAGUGGCAUUGCCGAGUAGCUAAGUGUGGAAGAGAUAACCGCUGAGAGCAUCUAAGCGGGAAACUCGUUUCAAGAUGAGAUCUGCCGGGGCCUUGAGCCCCCUGAAGAGUCGUUCAAGACCAGGACGUUGAUAGGUCAGGUGUGGAAGCGCAGUAAUGCGUUAAGCUAACUGAUACUAAUUGCUCGUGCGGCUUGAC